rnacentral:rRNA from 1 species
UAACUGGGCGAUUAAGUUGCAGGGUAUAGACCCGAAACCCGGUGAUCUAGCCAUGGGCAGGUUGAAGGUUGGGUAACACUAACUGGAGGACCGAACCGACUAAUGUUGAAAAAUUAGCGGAUGACUUGUGGCUGGGGGUGAAAGGCCAAUCAAACCGGGAGAUAGCUGGUUCUCCCCGAAAGCUAUUUAGGUAGCGCCUCGUGAACUCAUCUUCGGGGGUAGAGCACUGUUUCGGCUAGGGGGUCAUCCCGACUUACCAACCCGAUGCAAACUACGAAUACCGAAGAAUGUUAUCACGGGAGACACACGGCGGGUGCUAACGUUCGUCGUGAAGAGGGAAACAACCCAGACCGCCAGCUAAGGUCCCAAAGUCAUGGUUAAGUGGGAAACGAAGUGGGAAGGCUCAGACAGCCAGGAUGUUGGCUUAGAAGCAGCCAUCAUUUAAAGAAAGCGUAAUAGCUCACUGGUCGAGUCGGCCUGCGCGGAAGAUGUAACGGGGCUAAACCAUGCA